UACGAAGGGGGCUAGCGUUGCCCGGAAUUACUGGGCGUAAAGCGCGUGUAGGCGGAUGAGCAAGUCUGCUGUGAAAGCUCCUGGCUUAACCGGGAGUGGUCGGUGGAAACUGCUCGUCUGGAGGACGGUAGAGGUAGGUAGAAUUCCCGGUGUAGUGGUGAAAUGCGUAGAGAUCGGGAGGAAUACCUGUGGCGAAGGCGGCCUACUGGGCCGGACCUGACGCUGAGACGCGAAGGCGUGGGAGGCGAACGGG
rnacentral:rRNA from 1 species